GAUGAACGCUGGCGGCGUGCCUAAUACAUGCAAGUCGAGCGAACGGACGAGAAGCUUGCUUUUCUGAUGUUAGCGGCGGACGGGUGAGUAACACGUGGAUAACCUACCUAUAAGACUGGGAUAACUUCGGGAAACCGGAGCUGAUACCGGAUAAUAUUUUGAACCGCAUGGUUCAAAAGUGAAAGACGGUCUUGCUGUCACUUAUAGAUGGAUCCGCGCUGCAUUAGCUAGUUGGUAAGGUAACGGCUUACCAAGGCAACGAUGCAUAGCCGACCUGAGAGGGUGAUCGGCCACACUGGAACUGAGACACGGUCCAGACUCCUACGGGAGGCAGCAGUAGGGAAUCUUCCGCAAUGGGCGAAAGCCUGACGGGGCAACGCCGCGUGAGUGAUGAAGGUCUUCGGAUCGUAAAACUCUGUUAUUAGGGAAGAACAUAUGUGUAAGUAACUGUGCACAUCUUGACGGUACCUAAUCAGAAAGCCACGGCUAACUACGUG
rnacentral:rRNA from 1 species